UGCCAGGUCCUUAGUAGCAGUAAUUUGUCCCCCAAGCAAACAGGCAGGGAGAGGAUGCGGGUGGGUCUGACAACCCAAAGGUCGUUCAUAGUCACACCAAGUCACCUCUUCAGUUCCAGAUGGAAUAUUUGAGACCACUGAAAGUAUUUCCUGCACUUUAAAGCAGCAAACUGAACUUUGAAAUAAUAUAAGCUUCUAAAAUUUGGCUUUCUGUAAGGGAGAUAUGAAGUUUAAACUAAUUGUUCUAGAAAGCAAAGACCUUUGUCCUUGAGAGUUUGGGUGCUGAAUCUGCAGGCUACUUUUUUCCAUUUAAAACAUGUGCAUCGGCCUUUUCAAAGCAGCAUCCGUUUGAAAUUGAGUCCGACCCAGUAUUUAAGAAUGAGAAGUGGAAUUCUGGGACUUGAAAUAAUUAAAUGCCUCAGUGUAAAGCAGUUUGCUACAAGUAUGCUGACAGCAUAAUUUUAAAGUUUGGUGGUAAGACAGAAAUCAUUUUUCAAGUGUUAUCUUGUUCUUGUUGCUCCUGUCAACUGCUAAGGGAAAUGGAAUAAUUUAUUCUGUAUUUCCUGUUGGCUAGAAUAUAAUAAUGUCUGCUCAUUCAGCUACACUUUUAGUGUUACCUUGAAUAAUUAGUUCAUUAUAUUUUGUGUUGAGUAGCAUUUGGUCCCGCCUUCUUAUCCUAAAAAUUGCUGAAUAUUACUCCAUAGUUUAUGUUGAAGUCUCCCUCAGCAAUAGGUGAAGAUUCUGAUAGUCACUGAGUUACUGGUCCACAACCACAUUCUACUGAAAGAGCUCUGACAUGAUCAGGAUCCCCUCAGAAAGUAAAAUGAUGCCACAUUUUUCUUGAAUCCAAAUUGUCAGUGUGGCAAAUCUCUGUGUGUUUCGGCAGAGCACUUUGUGGACCGAAGAGAGUCUCCUGUAUUUUUGUAUCUCGUUUGAGAUGUGCAGUGUUGCUUUGCGGUAAUUCUCAGGAUAUCUACACCUUGCAAUUGGAAAGGUGCUUACAACACUUGUGAAUUUACCCUAAUUAGCAUUAAUUUGCCUAAUCUGUGUAUCAACAACUAGAUACCUGCAUGAUAAGCCAGUGCCAGGCUCCUAGCGGGGGCUGAGUCGUUUUCCUGUGCUGGGGCUUGUUCGGUUUCAUCUCCAGGUUGGAGCCAAGGCAGGGCUUUACAGCUGCCUCAGAUGUGUCUCCGGGCAAACGGAGGGGAGCCGUGGGAGCAGUCCUGGGGCUGUCCCUAACAAGCUGCUCGCUAGUAAUAAAGAAGUAAAUAGGAUUGUGUCACCAUCAGUGAGCGUAAGCAAGUCCAGCCAGAGGCCAGAUGCAGAGAACGUCUCCAGCAGCAGGAUCAUCCACAGGGACUCACAGCUGGACAGCAAGGUUGAUGGCUUUCCCAGGGAAGCUUUGGAACAAGGGCUUCAUUCCUGUUACUGGGCUACAGGGAUUCCCCAUCCUGCCUCCGUGCUUCUUGUAUUUGUGGGGAUGAACUGUUCCUCACAUCAGCCAACAUUGGACCAAAUAAUAUAAUUCACUCUUUGAUUUCUCAGUGUGUUACCUGCAGGCCCAAGAAAACCUGGUCACAUAAUUAGGUAGUUGUCUCUGCUUCACCAGCCUUUUGGUAACCAGGCUGACAUCCUCUCCUUUUUAAAGGACAUGGGGGAUUUUUAUAGUUAUGCUAGGAAACCAAAAUGGGGAAGAAAGAAAUUUUCAUACCUAUUAAAAGCUGCUCAGAAUAUAACUUGAAGGACACAUGCAAUAAUGGAAGUAAAAAAAGUUAAGAAGGCCCCCAAUGAACAGAGAAAACCCAACAGGUGAAAGCAGACCACAUGUCUAGAGCUAGUACGCUUGCAGGGAUUUUGCAUUCCUUAACCUUCCUCUUGCAUUCCCUGAAUUUUUCUCCAAGGAGCAUAUUAUCAGUCAUGUAUCCCUGUGAAGCAUAUGCAGCUUCUGAAUAUCUUACCUAUGAGCAAAACAUGGUGUAUUAAAGAACAGUGUGAGGCUUUGAAGCUACUAUUUCUACAAAAGGCCUAAAGACUCCAUCUUGGUCCUAAAAAGAUGCAAAAGCAGCAAACAAAGCAAACUCUCUUUCCAGAAGGCACCAAGGGCAUGUUUUCAGGUGCAAUGUAGGUAAGGGAACAGAGGACUCAAGCCCAUGGAUCUUCUGGCUGAUGGAGUUAAUGGUUGUUAUUUUUAUCCUGUUUAUUAUUGUGACACAGCAAUUUUUGUAUUAGUAGUGCAAUUCUAAUAUUGCUAGUUAAUCACUACAGGACUGACUCAUUGGCAAGGCAUCCCUAGUUCUACUUACAGAUUUAGAAAAAUUCUAAUUUCCUUUUUCUUUUUGACUCACCAUUAUUAAAUGUUACUGCUCAUAGAAUAAGAGCAAAUGCUCACACGUCAAUGUGCUUAUAUGUAUUAAAGCCAUCAGCCAAAAUUGAGUUGUCCAAAAGUUUUGCCAUGUACCAUUUUCUUCCAAGUCUAGGAUUGUUUCCAACAUCUGAUCAGUUCUUUGUCCAGGAAUGUGUAAAUGCAAGGCCUAAAAUUAAGGAAAGUGUACUUCAAAAUGAAAGUUAAAUUCAUAUAGAUUUGAAGUUAGCAUUAUCACAUUCAAUUUAUCAGUAUUAUCUAUUUAAUACCAAGUCUGGGACAUAGGCUGAAAUGCUACAGCAAAGCAAAAAUGCUGUCACAGGAAGUGGCAGAUUAUUUCAUCUGUGUUAAUUAAACCUUGACAUUAUCACAGAUUGGCUUGAGCUGAAAAGGACCAUAAGAAUUAUAUAGCUCCAACUCCCAAAUUACUGGAAGUAAUUAAUUUCCAACUGUUGAAAGUAAUUAAUUCCAAACUUCUAGAAGUUGAUAGCUAUCUGACUGUAUUGCUUAGUGAGAAAAAGUGAGAUAAGUAGAGUAUUGUCUUCAGAUUAUUUCAAGGUGGGUUGCUCAUCACAGGAAUUAAAAAACCCAGCUGAAACAAUGUUGGGACUUGUUAUUUUGGUAGCUUGUGAAGGAUUGGGAAUGUACUGAAAGAUUGGGAUGGUGGGCAGUGAUUCUUUUGAAGAGGAGCAAAGGAAAGAAAUAGGAAUUUUUAUACCAAUCAUUUUAUUUUGAUUGUUUGGGGGCAAAUUAUCCACCCUGAAUCAGUCAUCUGACCUUAUUUUUGAGUACCACCACGACAGCAAGCAAGAGUCAACAAGUAUUGUGUUGCAGAUGGGUGGUGGCAUACAUAAGUUAUUUUCCUUCACCAGAACAGAGGCAAGGAAAAUUUGAGUUGGACAUAAAAAUCCUUUCUAAAGAUAAGGCUAAUGAAGUUUUGGAAUGUAGUGCCCAGAAAAGUUGAAGAAUAUCUACCAGAAACAGUCUGGCAAAUAUUUCAGAAAUAGUCUAUGUAAAUGUUUACCAAGCACAUGGAUAUGGCUUCUCUCCCUUGGGAGGAGUGUGGAAGCUUUGAUGAUUUCCAGAAUCUUUUUCAGGCCCUUUUUUCCUCUGAAUCUCUGCGCAGUCCUACAGACUUUGUAUGGGGCCUUCACAAACAGGGCAGAGUCUGAUGUAAGGGGCUCUUUUUUGGCAUCUGAAGUGCUCAUGGACAAAUCUGGAGCAGCUGGAAGCACCCUUCUUCUGGCUGGUCCUUUGCCAGUGACCAUCUGUAAGUGUCUGCUGGAAAAGAAACCAAACAAAUGGAGCUGCUGAGAUUUUUCAGCCUUUCUGGGCAUUAAAACCCAAAAGUUUCAUUUUCAAUCUCAGAAUAAGACCCGAUCACCCCAAAAGACAGCACAAACAAAACUGUUUUGCCUCUAGGAAAUGGUCUUCAUUUGAAGACAUUUUCUAAAUGUCAAGACUUAUCUCCCACAUUCAAAACCUCCUAGUUUUCAUCCUUUUCUAGCACGAAGUUCAAACUCCUUAUUGCCCAUCCAAUUUUCUGUGUGACAGCUUCUUGUAUUUUAAGAUGUAGUAGAAACAAACUGGGAUUACAUCUUAUACGUGUUAUGGCCUCAAAUGCUUCUAAGGACACAGAAAUUGAGGGUGUGUUUUACUAUGUAGUUGCAGGAGAAAUUCUGCUUGCUCUUGCCUUGGGCAGGCUCCCCAUAUGCUGCAGUGCUAUAUCUAUAACAACUGCAGCGACCUCCUGACAUCACCACUCUGCUCCACAAGGGUUUUUUUCAAGAAGAGCUAAUGAAAAGAGUCUGUUCUAGUAAUCACACCCAGAGGAAUUACAGAUAUUAUGAAAGAAGUGACAAAUAACAGCAUAUAAUUAAUUUCAAGAAAAUGAGUUAUAUAUCUCUUCCUUUCUCUGUUGCCACUGCAGCUGCUUGAGUGUAUGACUGACAGCAGUAAAUCUUGGCAAAAAUCUGUGCUUUGAGUAUAGUUAUAGAACUAUUUUCUUCAGAAGAACAUAUAACAGAGGUCUGAGAAAGCACAGUGCAGAAAAUACAUAGUUAGAUAAAAUUGUCUCAGUCUCAAUUAGCUUUCCACACUUAUGCAGUGGUUUAUGUGUUUUAAUGUAGAACAUUGCAAAAUUAAAUAAUAGUCCAUUUACAAGUUAUAUUAAUUAUUUUAAACAACUAUUAAAUUGUUUAAAUGAAAUGAAAUCAAUUAAAAUACUUUUAUAACAAUUUAAAUUAUUCUUAAAAUGACUGUUCAAUGAUUUUAUUAUGUAAUCUUAAAUUUCAAGAGGGGAAAAUCAGGAAGGUUUUGAAAAAGCAUCAUGACUAAAGGCAGUUUAGAUUAAGAGUCUUUUCUAGUAAUAUUUAUUAUUUACUGAGAAGUUAUCCUUGUUGGGUUUCUGCCUUGUUUCUGCAUCACAGUUUUUAUCAUCACCUCAGCCAUCAGCACUUGUAAUUAAAAAACUUACAUUCUUUUGGGAAGUACAAUGCAACAGAACAGACAUUGAGGAUUUCAUCACAGUGUUUUUAUCCUGUUUAGCCUUUUCCAUGUACAAGUGAAUGAAUCAUUAGCCACAUCUUAUCAACUGUGAGGUAUUAGAGUUAAGGUAGUAGGACUCCUGAUGAGAUUGCUCUGUUAUUCCUGAAACUAAAUACCACAUAGUGUUGUGCAUGCAAAGUAAGAUGUCCAAUAAAUGCUACAUAUUCUCACAGCAGAUUUAUUAACUUCGAGAAGAACAGGUUAUUUUUAAUUCAGAAUUUAUCAUAAAAUGAUUAUUUUUCAAAUAAUGAACAUUCCUUACUGAGGUCAGCAAUGCAGUGGCACAAUUAAGGAAGAUAGUUUUAUUUUUUAGUGCUUAUGUGCUGUUGCUGGUUUACCCUCUGGUCCAAAUAAUUUAACAUGUGGAUAGACGAGACCACUUGCAACAAAAAGUAAAAAAAUUAAACAGUUAUAAAUUAUCAACUACAUGUACUUAAACAGUGCCUCAGUUUCGUAGUAGUAACGUUGAAUUUCUGCUGAAAUUUCUUGAUGUCAUGUCUGAUGCAAUGAAACCUAAAAGAAAAAGGAAAUUCUUCUCAUCAACUUGUGUUACUGUGCUUGCAUUUGAAAAUAAUUUGAUAUAGCAGGGGUGGAUGGAUAAAUCUGUUAGUACAGCUACUAACUCCUGUAUUUGUUUUAAGAAAAAAAAAAUCAAAGCACAUUUCUUGUCCUUGUCAAAUGAUCUUUUUUGUGCCAAUGACUAUGAACUCACUGAUCAGUAAGAGUUGUAUUCUACAAAAUCAAUUCCUUCUUGGUGUUAUUCCUUCUUGCUCUUGGUAAAGAGCACUUUUCUGUUUCAACAAUGCUCUUGGUUUAGCCCCAGUCAGAAGCCACGCCCUACGCAGCCACUUUCUCACUGUUCUACCAGCAGAACUGGGGAGACACCUGGAACAGUAAAAGCUGGAAAACUCAUGGGUUAAAAUGAAGACAUGUUUUUCCAUCCCCAGGAGAGCAGGACCCCAUCCCUUACAACAAAUUGAGAAUACAAACACCAUCACUCCAAAUGUCCCUCCCCAUCUUCUUCCUUCCUCCCUCCACUUUAUUUACGGACCAUGAUGUUGUGUGGUCUGGAAUAUCGCUCUGGUCAGUUGGGGUCACUCCACCUUUCCUGGCUGUGUCUCCUCCCAAGCACUCCCACAUUCAUUGCUAGCAUGGCAGUAUGGAAAACAGAAAAGGCCUCGGCUCUGUGCAAGUCCUGCUCAGCAAUAACAAAAAUAUCUCUAAAUUAUCAGCCCUGGGCUCAGCACAAAUCCAAAACAGCCACACAACAGCCACUGUGAAGAAAAUGAACUCUAUCUCAGCCAAAACCAGCACAACAACUUACUAAGUAAAAUUUGGUUUGAUUAGGAUUUAAGUAAGUGAAUAAAUAAUGUAAAUAAUAUUAGACAGAUUUGUAAUGGGCACUCUUCUUCAGUUCCAUAACAUACAAGGUAACCUGAAUGUUUGUUGUUUUAAUUUGAAAAAAGGAAAUUAAAAGCCUCUGAAUCAUAUCACAUGUUCUUUUCUAACCUCUCCUUAAGCAAUAGCAAGCAAAACCAGUGUGGAAACCCAGGGCACAGGGAAUAUUUCUCUCUCUGCUCUGGGGUGCCCUGACCCCCAGGGGAGCACUGCCUUUGACCCUCAUUCGUGGAGAAAGUUUCCUAGACUUCAAGACACACUAGAAUCCACAAAAGUGUGAAAUAGAUUAUAGAGAGUAGUGUAGGUGUAUCACUUGGUGAGAAAUUUAGGUUUUGGGAUUUUUAGUAUGUUGUGGAUGGAAGCAAGGUGGAGGGCACAGGGUGUCAUCCUGGGUUUUUUCUUCAUGCUUCUUCUUGGGUUUGGGUGGCAUUUUGUAAUUGGGCAGAAAAGCGCACAUUGCAGGCUCUUUGGGAUCAGUUAUUGGGAAAAUAAGGGAAUAUAAUUGGGAAAAUAAGGGAAAAUAAUCUAGGUGUCAGUUCUUAAUAGGAUAGUUUAGUCUUAAAGGAGCUUGUAACAAGAGACUUAGCCAUUUUGUGCCUUCUAAUGAAAAGCUGCUGAACUCAUGGUUGUGAGACUGUUUUACUGAUAAGAAAUAAUAAACACCCAAGUCUAAUCAUGAACUACUGUCUGAAGUGCCUUCAAUCCAGACCCAGAGAUAACUAUCUGAAAAGUUACAGGCAUGUAAGAAAAAAAUGUUUCAAAGCCAUAUAAUUCAGAUACUUCAAAAGCUAUUUUCUCUAUCAAAAAUAUCAAGUGAAUUAUAAAUCUGAACAAAAAUGAAGUACACCUUAACUCCCUUUCCCCCCUAGAAAGAACCUUAAAAGGACAUGACUAAGCUUUUCUCAUUAAGAGAUAAAUAUCUGAAAAAUCAGCCCUUUUAACUUGGAAUUAAUGAUACCAGGAUACACUCAUGUUGAAGUAGUAUGGCACUAAAAAUAUCAAUGUCAGAACCCAAGACAUCCCUCUGGAUGCCCUGGAUGGCUUAAAAUCCUGGCAGGGGCCCGGAGACCCUGGCAGGAAGCCAAAGACACUUGGGAUUUCGAUCUUAACCCAUGGAGCAAAUUACCAACCUUGCAUGAAGAAUCACAAGUCACAAAAGUUUAAGUAGCAUAAUAAUAGUUGCCACCGGGUGAAAAGUGGAAUUUUGAAGAAUUUUACUAUGGGGGUCUAGGGGGCAAGAUGGAGGAAUUUGGGCAUUGUCCUCUUCUUCUUCCUGCUUUCUAGCCUCCAUCUUCUUGGUGGUGCUAGCACUUUGGGAUUGGUUUAGAGUAGAAAGUCACUGUCUAACAUAGGUGAUAGGUAUUGGAACAUAACUGUAAAUAUUGAAUACACAGUUUAUAGUAUAAAAGACACCACCAGCCCGUGGGUGGCUGGAGUGUGCCUCAG